rnacentral:rRNA from 1 species
AGUUUGAUCCUGGCUACAGAACGAACGCUGGCGGCAGGCCUAAAACAUGCAAGUUGAACGCUGUAGCAAUACAGAGUAGCGCACGAGUGAGUAACACGUGGGAAUAUGCCUUUUGGUACGGAACAACGUUUGGAAACGAACGCUGAUACCGUAUGGUCCCUCCGGGGGUAAAGAUUUAUCGCCAAAAGAGUAGCCCGCGUCUGAUUAGCUAGUUGGUGAGGUAACGGCUCUACCAAGGCGACGAUCAGUAGCUGGUCUGAGAGGACGAUCAGCCACGCUGGGACUGAGACACGGCCCAGACUCCUACGGGAGGCAGCAGUUAGGAAUCUUGGACAAUGGGCGCAAGCCUGAUCCAGCCAUGCCGCGUGAGUGAUGAAGGCCUUCGGGUUGUAAAGCUCUUUAGCCGAUGAAUAUAAUGACUGUAGUCGGAAAAUAAGCCCCGGCUAACUUCGUG